GACAAACCUCAGAGAAACUUUUGCUUGCUGUCGCCAGAUGUGUGACGUGAACCGUUUCUACCAGAAAUGGAGAAAGCUCUAAGCUGCCACAGUAAGUGUUCAAAUUGGUUUAUUCCACCUCAAUGAGUUGUUCUCAAAAUGUUUAAGUCAUUUACAAGGUGGUUGAGGCAGAAAGCGAUACAGUGUGGCCCUGUUCAGUGGUGACCGUGGGAAAGGUGGGGUCCAGGCUCAGGACAUUGUCCACAGAUAUAACAGUAUAAGUGUACGCAGUAUACGCAGCUCUGUCUCACAUCUCUCACUAGACUCUAACACGGCUGUGUUCCUGAACCUGUCCUUAACAGAGAUGAGUGCCCCGAUCUUCAGCCACACCUCCCUCUGCCAGCAGGUGUACACCAGAGGGUUGAUGAGGGGGUUGGACAGCCCCAGCAGCUACAGGUCGUUCUCCAGCACCUUGUACAACUCACAGCCCUCACACAGCACCUGCACCACACACACCACAAACGGCACGAGCAGAUGGUGAAACAGACCACCAACAGAGCCACAGUCCUCAGGGCCUUGGCGUGGCCCCAGUAGUGGCUGCCUGUGGAAGCCUUUAGCUGGCCUGACGGAUCUGCACCUGGUGGCCGCAGGCAAUCUUCAGGAUGUCCAGGUAGAAGUAGUUGAAGACAGAGAGGAUGGGGAAGAAGCCAGCACAGAACACCACAAUGAAGCCCCGAGGACGGAUGACAGAGAAGAAGGUGCAAAGAUUGCUGCUGUUGAAGUUUCUCUGCUGUAGCUGCCGCACCAUGCCUGCAGAGCAGAGGAGAAUAACAAACAUACUAUAUGAUACUGUAUUUAGAUUAUUAGUGUAAAAAUAUAUCAUGUUCAUUAUCCAGUUGAUCAAGAAUUCACAAAUUGAGUCUGUUCAUCCCCUGAAUUGAAAUGAAACCCUGUUGUUAGGGACAUCAAGGUAUCUGGCAUGGCCAGGUUGAUAACGAAGCACCAGCUCUGACUGCCCUCCCUGCACAUUAGCUUAAACAGAGCAGCAGCUACCAGCAGGUUGGUUGAGAUAAUGAGGAGACAGGCCACACUCAGGAUCCAUCCCAUAAUUUCUGGCGUCAUUGAGGUGCAGACAACAGGGGUUGGUAUAGGUCUCACACCAGGCAUCAUGGCCGUGAGGUUGCCACCCGACUCUCCUAUCCAGCAUGUCUUAUUGUAAGCUGCCAGUGAGUCAUUUACAAGCUCUAAGUCCUGUAUAUCUGUGAGAUCCCCACCCCCUCAAAACAAAUCAAUUAUAUCCACCAACAUCCACUCCUGCUGUGGUAUAUUGACAUUUGAAUCCAAAGACUCUUUUUCCUAUUUGUAUUGACUUCUGUAAAUGUUUCUUGUUAAUAUCUUUCUUUGUCAAACUCCUUGUAAAACAAUAAUAAAAAGUGCUGUUAAUUAAACAUUUAUGGAAAGAAAGGUAGAACAUUCAGAGGGUACUCAUCCACUCCUGAUGUGCCUUUGCUCCUGAGAGGGAAAAGUAUCUCCCCGCCUCUCUCGUCUGCAGCUGUGGUUCCUCUGCAUCUGACUCUUGUCCAGCCUGCUAUCUGGCUGUCAUCCCAGUCACCUCGAAGAGUCCCUGGUGCAGACAUUCGGGAUGAUGGGGCCAUUUUCCACAAGGGUUCACCACCACCACCAAAUCUGGGUUAAUGACAGUAGUAUGCAGUAUAAACAUAAUCUGAAAAUACACUAAGAUAGAUCCGCGUUCGAUGCCCUCUGUAUCUUCAUCAUAAAGUCAUUAGUGUUUUUUAAAGCCCUGUUAAUUGAAUUCAAUAAGUAGGGCAGUAAGGUAAGAGAGGAAGAGUUUUCUGUGGCGUGUCUCUUGGGAAGACCCAUCUGUAGGCAUAUAUGUGAGUCCUUUAGAAAACACACAGAAUAAAAAAAUCCAGAUAGAGACACGGAAGAGAAAACAACCAUCUACUCCCACUUACUAGAAUCAACAAAGUAUCUGCUCUCUUGGCUCCUCUAGUGUCUAAGGUGAGUCCUAGCAAAAAUAAUACACUGCUCCAAAAAAUAAAGGGAACACUAAAAUAACACAUCCUAGAUCUGAAUGAAUGAAA
ensembl:lncRNA